rnacentral:tRNA from 1 species
CGGAUAUGGCGUAGUCGGUAGCGCGUCAGUCUCAUAAUCUGAAGGUCGGGAGUUCGACCCUCCCUAUCC